rnacentral:lncRNA from 1 species
CCCACAGGAAGUGACGGCAGAGGGGCUGCGGUGGAGGGGCGGGGCCUAGCGGAGCCGGGAGCAGGUAUCGCGAGAGCGCGAGAGGUGGCUCUGGACCUCGUGAGUCUUCCCGAGAUUCUCCGGGUACAAAGACUUCCGUGUGGCUGGGAAACUACCAGAAUGCACGCUGAUGAAAGUACAUUCAGGAAGUACAGAGACAGUCCUGUGGUCUGAAGCUUUCAUUUCUGAAGUCCCAUCAGUGUAUCUGCCUCUUCACAGAUGAGAAGGCUGUAUUAUCUUUGUUCAAGGUAAGCCCUUAAUGUUAUCUUUUUCAGUCAAAUCUAGCCACUUAACCACUUUGAGCACCG